UCUGUGCUCUUUUUACACUGCUGUCACUAUAAAACCAAGUCACAUACGCCUCUCAGCGUUUCUCUCUUAACCUUUCUCUGCUGAGGUAAAUGCAGAAACAACUCAAACUCAAUGGGAAAUUGUUGGAGUCUUCAAUCACGUUAUCCCCCCGAGUCCAGUACUGCCCCCAACCCCAACAAUCAAUUAGGGAGUAUUCAGUUUUCUUCUGGUCUCAGCAACGCAAGAUUGAUACAAAAUGGCAAUUCUACUUCUCUUGGUCAUAGCAGCCACUCUGGAGGAAUCAGCAGGUUAUUUGGGCCAAGUAGUAGCAACAACUUCUCAACGGGCAAUAACACUAGCACAUCCCUUUGGGGCUCUGAGAAUAGCCAAGCCUCUCGAGUCAGAGAUGAAGAGGAGUUUCCUCAAGGGCAGAUCUUGGAUGUUGCAGACUUGAGAGCAUUUACUUUGGCAGAAUUGAGGGCUGCCACCAGAAAUUUCAGAGCUGACACUUUGUUAGGUGAGGGGGGUUUUGGCAAAGUAUUCAAGGGUUUGAUUGAAGAUAAAGCAGCAAAAAAAAGAGGUGAGGGGUUGACUAUUGCCAUCAAGAAAUUGAAUUCUGAAAGCAGGCAAGGAAUUGCGGAAUGGCAGUCAGAGGUGAAUUUCUUAGGGAGACUUUCUCAUCCCAACCUUGUUAAGUUGUUGGGAUUCGGAAGAGAGGAUAAUGAGCUGUUUCUGGUGUAUGAAUUUAUGCAUCGUGGAAGCUUGGAUAACCACCUAUUUGGAAGAGGUGCAAAUGUUCGGCCACUUUCUUGGGACACAAGGCUAAAGGUUAUGAUUGGAGCGGCAAGGGGACUGAAUUUCCUUCAUUCCUUGGAGAAGAAAAUUAUAUAUAGAGAUGUCAAACCCUCAAAUAUACUAAUUGACAAGACAUAUGCAGUAAAGUUAUCGGACUUUGGCUUAGCCAGAUCUGUUACUUCGCCUGAUCAGAGUCACGUAUCAACACAGGUUAUGGGGACUCACGGCUAUGCUGCUCCUGAAUACAUAGCAACAGGCCAUUUGUAUGUGAAAAGUGACGUGUAUGGAUUUGGAAUUGUUUUGGUGGAGGUGCUGACUGGCAAAAGGAUAAAUGAUAUAUUGCGGCUGAGUGAGAAAACGUCCUUGAGGGAUUGGCUAAAAUCAAAUCUACUAAAUAGAGGGAAAAUAAGAAGCUCUAUGGAUGCAAAGUUGGAAGGAAAGUAUCCAAACAACUUAGCUUUGCAAGUAGCUGAACUAGCUCUCAAAUGCAUACAAGCAGAGCCCAAAGUGAGGCCAUCAAUGAAAGAAGUUGUUGAAACAUUGGAACAGAUUGAAGCAGCCAAUGAGAAACCAGCUGAUAACAGCAGAAAACGGGUUACUCGUUCCCGGCCAGUUCAACAACAUGGCCAGCCAGAGCCAGAUAGUGGUUAAUGGAAUUGAACCCAUCAACACUAUAUUCCUUUGCAGCUGAUGAAUUGUGGACUUGAGGCAUCUUUGGGUAAACUUUUUUUGAAGUACUUCUAGAAGAGAAAAAUAGAAAAAGAAAAAGAAAUAAAUUUCUCCAUAAACUAAUAUUAGCUCAUGUAUUAAUUAAUUUGUAGAAGCUUUUUUCUCCAAAAUCUUAUUUUUAACUUACAUAUAAGCUAGUUUUAACUUAUGGAGAAACUUAAUUCAAUUUCUUUUUUAAAGUGCUUCUGGAAAAGUUUAUCAAAACACACCCUUAAAGAUCUUAUUGACUUAUUGCUAAAUGCUAAAAGUGCCUCUACUUCAGUGGCCUAGUGGAGUUGAGCUUGUACAGUAUGCAUACACAUAUGCCAAAAGGAUCUGGGAAUGCAUUUGGCUUUGGGGUAAAGCCCCGAGGGUAUCUGCCCAAGGGAGAUCCUGGGGUGUUUAGCAUUAUGUGCACCCCAAAACUAGGAGAAAGAGGCUUCAAACUAGGCUGACCCCUAGUAUAUUGAUAAACAAGAAGGUAAUGUCAACAAGUUGCCUCCUUCAAGUUGAUCUUUAUUAAGCUGUUGAGAAAUGCCAAUGAAGUAGGUCACUGGUAUGUUAAAUCCAAUUUGUAUGAGAAAUUAUUAGGUAGUUCUAACAUGAUAUAUAAUCAAGUGUUAUUAAAUUUUUCACAUAAAUUGAAAAACUUAAAUAUAUAUUAUAUAGUGAUUGAUUUGGACGAUAGAUAUUUAGCAAUACUGCACUACCUAAUAAUUUCUAGAUAUGUAAGGAUUUGGGAUUGUUUUGAUGGAGAUGCUGGCUGGUAAGCGGAUACGUGAUAGUCCAUACUGGAUUAGUGGGUUGAGCUUGUAAAAUGCACAUAUAUAUGCCAACAGGACCAGCAGAACAUGUUUGGGUUAGGGAUGAAACAGUGAUAGUGUCUGCACUGCCAAACUGAUAAAAACAGAUAAGGCUAGCAAAGUGUGCACUUGAUUAGAUACUUGAAAAUAAGGCUAGCUUGAAACGGUGAUAUAAUUGACACAUAGCUUUUACUUACUGCACCCCCAAAAAGCAAAGUGGCACUUGAUUGGAUACUUAAAACUAGGAUGAAAUUAUCAAUUAAUAUGUAAAAGGGGUGAAAUUAAUAAUAAUGAAGUUGAGGACUCUUGGCUUCGUUACCAAAACUGAAGAGAUGAGAUAGAAAGAAUGAAAUUCUCGACAGCACCAAAGUGCCAUGUGAGUGGAGACUCAUUGUGAAGCAAAUGUGGUGGCAUGCUUUCUUUCUCAUUGACCCAGUUGUCUCUUAAAACAUGAUCCGAAGCAAUUGGUAUCUAACUCUAGGAAGUCCCAAUUCACUUUUCCAUUAAACGUGCUGCUAAAGUAGCAGGAGACAAGGAAAAAGAAACGGAUUCUGCAUCAUAUGCCAAAAAUCAUUAUCAUAAAGUCAUAAACGCCAGAAAGAGAGAAGACCGAAGGAAGGAAGCAUGAUUAAGAAGAUAAUUAAUGUGACUGUGGAAUUGACAUUCAUACAAUCAUACUCUUUUCAAACCUUUAAUUUGUUAUAUUCGGUCAAGUUAGGUACCGCUUUAUUGGAGUCAAAUUUCUAAACAUUGGUUUUUCACAUAAAAAGAAAAAAAAAAAUGACGAUCAAAGUUUUGUGUAAUGACACUAGACUCCAAACUACCAAAAUUUUAAAGCCUUUAUUUCAUAUUUUUUCACACUUGCAGCGACUUUCCAUUUUCUAUUUCUUUCAUAUUUGUAUAAAUA